GCUCUUUAUAUUUUAAUUUUUGAUUUAAUGCCAUAUAAUAAUCAUGUAAUAGGAUCUAGAUUUAGGGAUUCUCUAGUUUUACAAGAUAAAUUUUGAUUUAUUUUAGUUUUCCGCUGUCUGAUCUUGAAAAAGUUUCAAGAUCUAACCCUUAAACCCUAGAUCUGGUUCCUUCAGUUUCAUGGUGUUUAUAUGCCUUCUUUCCUUGCCCACCUUGGC
rnacentral:lncRNA from 1 species